UCAUACUUCCCCUCAAACUUUUCAUGAUCUAAACAGAAGUUUGACAUAUUUAAGAAGCUACCUGACAAGUAUUUCCUUCCACAAUUGUUUAUUCAACCAAUGAGGCACUUGUUCCAUUACUCAAUUCUCAAUCUAGUUUCCCUUACACUAACCCUCAAGAAACAAAAUAACACUAAGCGGGGGUUAUUUUUCAAUAUAAAAAUUCUCUACCAAGAUAUCAGACGUCUAUGAAUUGAAAAUUUAGAACAAUAUUUUCCAAAUCACCCGUGGGGAUCCAUGAUAAGAUAAAUUAGUUACAUUCUCAUGCUUCUUUACGAACCUUUUUCAACAGACCGAGCCCAGUUAAUGGUUGAUCUGGCCAAAGCAUCCAUCAGAUCAAUACAUUUCCUAAGCAGAGGAUCAUCCCGAGGCAAAAGAUCACGCAUGUCAUCAGAGGCAAGGAUGACAGUGUUCACAGCCCUCGCCAGAAGAACUUGCAUUGCAAUUCUUAGCAGAUUCCUUGCCACUUCCAUGUCCUUUCGAUUUAAAGAUUCAAUUGCAGAAAUUACAGUGUGUUCCAUUGUUGCUUCAUCUGGAACAACAACCUCAAACCCCUGCAAUUAAAAGCAUCUUUCAGAACUUCAGAACUCCCAUAGAUUCAUAUGGAACAUCACUAUAUAUAUAUAAGCAUGCACUUCAAGGCAGUGUAUGUGAAACACGAUCAGGAGUGUGAGACUGUAAUGACACACGGAAUUCCAAAUCCUAUCAUUAUAUAAUAAUAUAAUAUAUUAAUUUCAUCAUUAUUUUAUCCAUCAUGUGUAGGUGGGACCCAGCUCCGCCCAAAACUGCAAUCCUAUCACAGUUGGCAAAACAUUUUGAAAUUCGCUUUUGAGCUCUGUUUUAAUUUCAGUAAACAGUUACAACCAGAAAUACCAAAAGGAAACAGAAUACAAGUAAGAUGGUAUUUCUGGGGGUUUUAGACAAGCUGUCAUGAUGAAGACAAGAUGGGGGUUUAGCAAAAUGGAUGCUGAUUUUGUAGUAUCGAAGAUUCAACAUUCUUUUGUUAAAGGCCAUUAAAUUUUGGAUGCAAAUUUGAAAGCCAAUGAAGCCAUAGAUUUUAGACUGAAGAGUUUGAGAGGAGGAGUGAAUCUGUAAGUUGGAUAUUCAGAAGUCCAACAGUCAUGGGAUUUGGCAACGAGUGAAUAUGUUGGAUACAAUUCCUCAUGUCUAUUGUAACAAUUUCUCUGUUUGUGAAUGGCUCUUUUUUGUUUCUUUCAAAGUCCAAGCGGGUUGAGACAAGGCACCCUCUUAUCUCCUUUGUUUGUUCUAGUUAUGAAGACUUUUAACUGUUUUGUUACCAAGGUGACAAGAGAGGCUUCUUUUAUGACUUUAAAGUAAGGGAAGAUGAAGAAAAGGGUUGGAAGUCUCCCAUUUACUCUUUGCAUUAUGAUAAAUUGUUUUUUUGUGAUUGAUCACGGACUUAGUUUUGAUGUGAAGUCAUCUCAAAAUUGAGAAUAAGCUUGAAGAAAAGUGAAAAGUCCCCAAUAUUGAAGAAUUAACCUCUUUGUUGGGUUCCAAGGUGGUCAAGUUACCCUUCUCUCUUUUUUUUUUUUUUUUUUUUAAGAUAAUCAAAGAACCUUCUAAACCCUUAGGACUCUCCAUAGAGACCCAAACCUUGGGCCUUCCCUAACAAUCGACACUGGGUAAAUCAAAGUAUCAUCAAUAGCAAGAUUUAAAAUCAAGAUCAUGUGCCGCUUAUUAGAACCACAUGCAUCUCCCAUCAUUCGCCCUAACCAACUGGGCUACCCAGCGGGCAUACCUUCCUUCUUAGUCUUCCUGGGUUUUCCCUUCAAAGUCUUCUACCAUGUCAAAUGUUCUGAAGGAGAGGCUACUUAAAAGGUUAGCCUCAUGGAAGUGCUAGUAUUUCUCUACAAGUGAAGAUUAACCCUUUUGAAAAGCAUUUUAUCCAAUGUGUCCAUUUACUAUUUGUUAUCCCAAAAAGAGUUCAUAUGAGGUUAAAAAUGAUUAAGAAAGAGUGUUGGUGGCCAGUAAGUUUUUUAAAGAAGAAACCUCAUUUAGUCAACUCAUAUACAAUGUAUUUAGAUGAUAAAAUAAAAAUUAAAUUAAAUUAAAAAUGGAGGCGUUGACAUAAUCAUUUUGUUCACAAAUAUAUAAUUUAUAUUAUUAAAAUUCACAAUAAUUAUAAAAAGGAAAAUAAUUAAAAAUAACCAAAAAUAUCUUUUUUUGAGUGAAGACACUUUUAAAUUUUCUAACUAUUUUCUAACUUUCAUAUGUCAAUAAUAAAUAAAAAAUAAAUAAUUAUUUUUUACUUUUUAAUUAAAAGAAUUUUAGAAUAUCAAUUUUCAGACCUAGGGCAUGUGCAAAACUAUAUUGUUUAUGGUCAAAAUGACAAUUGAUGAGGAUGGUACAACCCAUCCACUCCAAUUUUUAAAACCAUGUUUUUAAGCAAGGCUCCAUUAGGUAAGUAGAGUUGCAGAUUUGCCAUAUAUAGGGAUAAUAUAGAACAAUUUUUGCUCACAAAAGUAGACAUCCUACAUUAGUAAAACCUUUGUAUGCCAGUACCUAGCAUUUAUAAUGCAUAACAAGAACUACAAAACACUUCUUUCUGAGGUUGUUCAAAUUUACACUUCCAUUAAAUGGACUCCUCAAAAUGGGCUACAUCAAAUUUAACCAAAUUCAGUCAAGGAAUACUAUGACUGAAUUACCACAGGGAAUCUCUAAUUUGGUUUCAUUACAGUAUCUCAGCCUAUCAAAAACCAACAUAAAAGAGUUGGCAAUUGAGUUGAAGAACCUGGGUAAAUUGAAAUGCUUGGUGUUGUUUGACAUGCCUCAACUUUCUUCAAUUCCAGAGCAGUUAAUAUCAAGUCUUUCAAUGUUGCAAGUUAUUGAUAUGUUCAACUCUGGAAUUUCUGAAAGAACAGUACUCAAAGAUGGUAUUUUGUCUGAUGAUAAUGAAGCCUUGGUUCAGGAAUUGGAGUCCUUAAAGUACUUGCAUGGUUUAGGCGUCAGUGUAACAAGUGCCUCUGCUUUCAAAAGGCUUCUAAGCUCUGACAAGCUAAGAAGCUGCAUUUCCCGUCUAUGCCUCAAGAAUUUCAAUGGUUCAAGCUCUCUCAAUUUAACAUCUCUCAGCAAUGUAAAGUGUCUCCUUAGCCUCUAUAUCUCAAACUGUGGCUCGUUGGAAGAUUUGGAGAUUGAUUGGGCUUGGGAAGGAAAGGAAACAACAGAAUCUAAUUACCUUAACUCAAAGGUCAGUUCCCACAACAGUUUCCACAGCCUUUCGUGGCUAGGUGUCGAAAGGUGUUCGAGGUUGAAGGAUCUAACAUGGCUUGUUUUUGCUCCAAACCUUAAAGUUCUUUUAAUAACUAGUUGUGAUCAAAUGCAAGAAAUAAUAGGUACCGGUAAAUGUGGUGAAUCUGCAGAGAAUGGAGAAAACCUGAGUCCAUUUGCCAAGCUCCAAGUGCUUCACUUAGAUGAUCUACCACAAUUGAAGAGCAUAUUUUGGAAAGCCCUGCCAUUUAUCUACUUAAAUACAAUCUAUGUAGAUAGUUGUCCACUUCUAAAGAAGCUACCACUCGACGCCAACAGUGCCAAGGGACAUCGAAUUGUCAUUUCCGGACAAACCGAGUGGUGGAAUGAAGUAGAGUGGGAGGAUGAGGCAACUCAAAACGCUUUUCUUCCAUGUUUCGUACCUAUUGAAGAAUAAGGGCCUGCAGCAAUCUCAGAGAGGCUACGAUGCGAUUCUCGGUGAGACCCUUUUCACAAUUAACUACCAUUUGAUCCUGAAUAGGUAUUGGUCCAAAUAAAACAUUCAAUUAUAGCAUCUUUUCAUGGUCGUAUACCUGCCACGUAUUUCUGAUAUACUUAAAAAAUGCUAUUCCAUUUCAAACAUAUAAGGCAAUUGAUUGCAGGUUUACAAGGAGUCAUCUUGUUAUUGAAAUUCAAAAUCUAUAACUUUUACGGUUAUUAUUUAUUAGUUCUUAGGAAGUGUUAAGGAAAGAAAAUAAAUAUUAAUGAAAAUAAUUUUUUCGUAUUUGUUUAUAUUAUGAAAAAUAUAUAUAAAAGAAAAUCAAAUAUAAAUAAAAUUAGUUUGAAAUUUACAAAUUUUUUAAAUUUUUUAAUUUUUAUAUCAAAGAGUUAAAAUAAAUAAAUAAGUUAGAAGUGGCAUAUAAAAGUCAUCUAUUAAUUUUAAUUUAUUUAUUUAUUUUUUUCACUUUUUUUUUCUUGUAUUUUUCCUUUCUAUUUUCUUUCCAUUACAAUUUCCCUCAAAAUUUUCAAUAACCAAACAUAACCUACAUAUAAUGAUCAAAUAUGAUCUUACAAACCAACCCAUAUAAAAAUUUAAGUCCAUUCUUAUGGCUUUUCUAAUUUGGUUUAAUAAGUCAAUAGUAUAUAUCCUUAUGCAAUCUUAUUUUGUUUAGUUGCAGAAUAUAACCUCAUAUGCCAUAAAUGCUUCCGCAAUCUUCACUCAAUGAGAAUCCAUUAUUUUCCAAGGUUGAAGGAUAUGGAUAGCUUAUUUUCAUGCCAACUUUUCAGUAUGUUGAUGACAUUGUAGGCUGUCAAAAUGGAACAUAUAAUUGCUUAUCUAUGUGAGGUAAACUGUUGGUUUAUGUAUGUUGUUUCAUAGUGUUUGUGUGCAUAUGUUGUUUCUCUUUGAAUUGCAAUAUUACAUUUUUUGUAUUAUAGGGAUUGUGAGAUGCAUUUUAUGAUUUGUGUAAAAAAUUUGAGUUGGAUGGAUUUCCUUAAUUGCUCUACUUCAAUUGAAAAGCAUGUACAUGAUAUCUUUGAUUGGAAACAAUCUAAUGUAUAAUUUCAAAAACAUAAUUAUAUUUUCAAAUGGAAAAGAUAGUUGAGUUAGGGUACUCUUUGUUCAUGGAGAACCAAGCAUUCUUGAGAAAAAAGAAUAAAAAUCAAGUCCCUCUUUGUACAAAAAUUUUAGGGGAGAACUUGCCCAAGUCAUGGGUAAACCAUAAUUGGGGCACCUUAGCUAAGGGUCCCAUUUGGUUCCCUAUUUGUGUUUAUCAAAUACACCUUUUCAUAAUUGUAAUGGGAAUGGAGUGUGAGAUUUAUACAACAUUAAAGCUUGUAUUCCUUAAUUUUGCAAUAAGUUAAAGAGGAUGAAACAUUUUUUAUUUGUUGCAAUUCAAGAGCAUGUACUAAAAUACUCUCCCCUUGUGUUCAAAAUAGAAGAAUUCAUUUAUCUUAUGUACUAUAAAACUUUUUUCAAAAUUGAGAAAGUGAAAAAAAAAUUACUUCCUUAAAUUUUAAUUUUUAUAAAUUGUUUUCAAGAAUAUAAGGUAUUUACUUGUUUUUGUAUAAUAAUUCUUAUAUUUUAUAUAAGACUUCCUAUUUAAAAAAUAAAAAAUAGAAUAUGUAUCCAACCAUAUACUAAGUGAUUCUCUUAACAAAAGUACUAUAAAUAAAAAUACUUUAACGAGAAUCACUCCCAAAUGUGUUUUGAGUUAUGUUUUCUAAUGGACUAGCUUUUCUAUCAAAAAAUUUCUUGAGUAGACAAUAAUUUAUAAUUAAAUGCAAAACAUUUUUACUCCAUGGUAAUUUUUAUUUAUCUUUUCCCUGUUUAAUAUCCACCUCUCAAUAUCUUGGUAUUUUAAACUAAGGAUAUAAUUUUAUUUGUUGUGAGCAUGACAUUAUCUUAUAUAUCCAUGUAAGGUUUUUUCUAAAAUAAAUAAUUUAAAAUUUCAUUAUUAAAAAAAAUAGAAUCAAUAAUAUCUUAUUUUUAUAUAAUACCAGAAAACUUUUUUAGGUGUAGCUAUGCUAAAGUAAGUAGUCGGCCUAACCUUCAAUUCUUGUAACCAAGUUUUUCUUUCACACUCCUUUUUUACUUUUUCUGAAGUGUUGGGCAAAGGGUGCCCUCUACUUCUACUUCUAACUAAAGGCGAACAACCGACUUUGAAAAAUGAUAUUUCUCGUGGUUUUAGACAAGUUGUCAUGAUGAAGACAAGAUGAGGUUUAGCAAAAUGGAUGCUGAUUUUGUUGUUUCGAAGAUUCAACAUUCUUUUGUUGAAGGCCGUUAAAAUUUGGAUGCAAAUUUGAAAGCCAAUGAAGCCAUAGAUUUUAGACUGAAGAGUUUGAGAUGAGGGGUGAUCUGUAAGUUGGAUAUUCAAAAGUCCAACAAUCAUGGGAUUUGGCAAUGAGUGAAUAUGUUGGAUACAAUUCCUCAUGUCUAUUGUAACAAUUUCUCUGCUUGUGAAUGGCUCUAUUUUUGGUUUCUUUCAAAGUCCAAGCGGGUUGAGACAAGGCACCCUCUUAUCUCUUUCUUUGUUUGUUCUAGUUAUGAAGACUUUUAACUGUUUUGUUACCAAGGUGACAAAAGGGGGCUUCUUUUAUGACUUUAAAGUAAGGGAAGAGGAAGAAAAGGGUAGGAAGUCUCUCAUUUACUCUUUGCAUUAUGAUAAAUUGCUUUUUUGUGACUGCUUAUGGACUCAUUUUUUAUGUAAAGUCAUCUCAAAAUUGAGAAUAAGCUCGAAGAAUAGUAAAAAGUCCCCAAUAUUGAAGAAUUAACCUCUUUGUUGGGUUCCAAGGUGGUUAAGUUACCCUCCUACUAUCUUUUUUUUUUUUUUAGGAUAAUCGAAGAACCGUCUAAACCCUUAGAACUCUUCAUAGGGACCCAAACCUUAGGCCCCUCCUAACAAUCGACACUGGGUAAAUCAAAGUAUCAUCAAUAGUAAGAUUCAAAAUUAAGAUCACGUGCCUCUUUCUAGAACCAUAUCUCCCAUCAUUCAUCCUAACCAACUGGGCUACCUGGCAGGCUAGUUACCUUCCCUCUUAGUCUUCCUAGGUUCCCCCUUCAAAGUCUUCUAUUACGUCAAAUGUUACAAAUGAGAGGCUACUUAAAAGGCUAGCCUCAUGAAAAUGCUAGUAUUUGUCUACAAGUGAAGAUUAACCCUUCUGAAAAGCAUUUUAUCCAAUGUGUCCAUUUACUAUUUGUCACUGUUUGUUAUCCUAAAAAGAGUUCAUAUGAGGUUAAAAAUGAUUAAGAAAGAGUGUUGGUGGCAAGUAAGUUUUUUAGAGAAGAAACCUCAUUUAGUCAACUCAUAUACAACAUAUUUAGAUGAUAAAAAAAAAAUUAAAUUAAAUUAAAAAUGGAGGCGUUGGACAUAAUCAUUUUGUUCACAAAUAUAUAAUUUAUAUUAUUAAAAUUCAAAAUAAUUAUAAAAAGGAAAAUAAUUAAAAAUAACCAAAAAUAUCUUUUUUUAAGUGAAGACACUUUUAACUUUUCUAACUGUUUUCUAACUUUCACACACACACACACACACACACACACACACACACAUAUAUAUAUAUAUAUAUAUAUAUAUAUAUAUAUAUAUAUAUAUAUAUAUAUAAUUUUCAAAGAGUUUUAAUUAAAAGAGUUUUAGAAUAUCAAUUUUAGACCUAGGGCAUGUGCAAAACUAUAUUGUUUAUGGUCAAAAUGACAAUUGAUGAGGAUGGUGCAACCCAUCCACUCCAAUUUUUAAAACCAUGUUUUUAAACAUGGCUCCAUUGGGUAAGUAGAGUUGUAGAUUUGCCAUAUACAGGGAUAAGCUUCAAAGACAACUAUCUUAGAUAAAUUUUUGGUGAGGAAGGAUGGUAAGACUAUGGAAAGAAAUUAGGAAAUGAUGGAAGGUGUUUCGAACAAGAAGUGGCUUUUUAGCUCUCCUCUUUUUUAUUAUAUUCUAACUAAGCACAUUAAUUAUUCCACCAGCCUACCUCUAUGUAGGAAUCAAACUUUCCAUAUAGAACAAUUUUUGCUCACAAAAGUAGACAUCCUACAUUAGCAAGACCUUUGUACGUCAGUACCUAGCAUUUAUAAUGCAGAACAAUAAACUACAGAUCGAACACUUCUUCUUGAGGUUGUUCAAAUUUACACCUGCAUUAAAUGGACUCCUCAAAACGGGCUACAUCAGACGGGACACAUUAUGAAUAAGGUAUGGGGGAAUAAGGCAUGAAUAAGGUUUUACAUUUAGUACCAAAUCAACAUAUGCUUAUAUAGGGCUGAUUUUGAUGCAAAUCAAAUAAAACUUUUACAUUUAGUACCAUCGUCCAAGAUUAAUUCACCAUGGCCCUAGAUGGUCAUGCAUGUUUUGUUUCCCAUAUUUUUAUUAGUUGCCCAUGGAAGAACCUACAUGGGUCAUUUAGAGGGGCCCAUCACAAUAACACAACCCAAUAAAUUUAAUGAAGUCUUAGAAACCGAUUCUAUAAUCCAUGCAUGCAACAAGCAGAGAAAAUAAUCUUUCAAGUUAAGAUUGGAAAGUUGAGCUCCCUCAGAAACUCUACCACACUUCAAAUCUCAUUUUCCCUCAUUUACGUAUUGGCAUACAUUGCCCUUUAUCUACUCACAAAGAAUUAGAGCUUACCAAGAAAAAGUUCUUGUUCAACUCAAACAGUGUAGAGGAUUGUAAAGUAGUUCAAGGAGAGGAAGAGUGGCUGAGUGAGUUAGAACUAGAGGACAAAGAUACUUUAAAUGCCUUUUUACCCUAUUUCAAAGCAACAUAAGAAUAAUGAGCUUAAGAAUGAUUUCCGAUCUUCUAUUUUCAUGUCUAUUUGAUACUUAGAAUGUGUAUUGUUCAUUUGUGGGUUGAUUUUCUCUCCACCCUUGCAAUCCCCAUGCAUGGACAAAACAAAGGAGAUGUAUGGUGUUAUGAGAUGUCUAUGACAAGUGUCUUGUAAUUGUGUUAUGUGUAAUAAAGUACUGAGUCUGUAUAGGACUGUUUAAAAUUGUUGUGUUCUAAUGAUAUAGAUGGCUGGGGGGAGGUGGAGGUGGAAGUGAAAAAGUUUGUAUAGUAAUUAAAAUAUUAAUUUCUUUCUUCUUCCUAUUAAAAUAUUAUAAGAUUUGUAGGAUUUAUGUACAAAUAUAUUAUUCAUUCUUAAGUAGUAAUUUAACCAAUUUCACUUUUUAAUUAUCUAGUUGGCCAUAAUGAGAAAUCUAAAAUAAAUAUUAAUGGAAUAUAAAUAUUAAAUAAUGGGUGUGUUAAAAGAAAAAAAACAAAAAUCUAUCACAUACUUAGCAAUAACAUUUAUAGAUUGAAAAUAAAUGAAAUUUAGGGUCUGUUUGGUUGCUAUUUUUGAAAGUUGUUUUGAAAAAUAGUUUUUAAGAACAAUUUUUGGUUUUUUAAGAAAUAAAAUUACGUUUGGAAACUGAAUUCUGGAAAACAUUUUUUGUUCUUAAAAAUAAAAAAAUCAUGUUUGGUUGAGUUAAUAAAAAAAUAUUUUUUUAUAACAAAUAAAACAAAAAAACAUGUUUUGAAGUUGUUUUUUUUUUUUUAAUUUAAUGUUUUCUUGAUAACUCUUCUCUAUUUAUAGAAAAAUAUAUAAAUAAAAAAAUUCAACAAAAUAUAAUAAUAAGAGGGUGAUGGAUUUGAAUGGGAAAUCAAAUUAUAUUUUUAGUUUUUAUUUUAUUUUAAAUUUUGAUCAUAUAUUUUUUUGUUUUAAUUACAAUAAAUAAGAAGAUGAAAUAUUUUAAUAAUAAACGACUAAAUAUCAUACUAAAUGAGGAUUAACGAUAAAGUAAUCAUUUUCAAUAAAUGGUUAGAUUUUUAAUAAAAAUUAAAGAAAAAAAUAAAUAAAAGGUUAUAAUUCAAAUUUAAAACUUUUGUUAGCACUCUAAAUUGAUUGUAGAAACAUUGGAUACAAAUAUUUAAAAGAAAUAUUGACAAUUAUGUAAAAUCAGACAUAUUUUAUUAUUUUAAAUAUUGGUAAGAAAUAUUAUUAAUUAAAGGAUUUAUGAUUUAUAAGGAUAUAUUUAUUUGAAAUUUUCUUAACUAUUUGCCUUUUUUAUCUCCUAUUUUUUUACUAAAUCUUAUCCCUUCAAUAUCCUUUCCAAUUAUUCUAAUGGAGAGGUGAAAAGAAGAUAUCAAACUUGGAUGGACAUAGUGAGAUCAUGGAUAGGUUUCUCAUAUUUUCCUAGAAUAUUUUGGCGACAUGUCUUAUAGAUUGUAUAAUACCUAUUUUCCUUAAGAGGUAUAUCAGUUUAUAGGAUAUCUAAGAGGAUUUUUGGGUUAUUACCUUAAUAGUUAGGAUUAUCAUAAGAUAUUUGUUAACACAAAUGUCAGAUUUCUAAUGAAGAUUAUAUGAUAAAGAAUAAUGCAAAAAGUGAUAUAGAUGAGAGGAUGUAUUAGAAGAUAGUCCUAUUUUUGCACAGGAUAUUAUGGAUCCAUAGAGUAAGAGACAUACCAUUUCUAUGAUUUCUAGUACCUCAGUAUCUCAUCACAGUGGGAGGUUUAUAUCCCAAAGAUUAUGAUAAAGUAGUGAACAACGUUUGUGCUCAAUUAAGGCAAGAAGCUAUGUGAAGGUAGUUAGAAUAUUUGUAUUCUAACAUAGUUUGGGUUCCUGUAGAAGCACCUAAAAGGAUAAAACCCAUAAAUGUAAGUUGGUCUACAAGAGGAACAUAGGAGUAGAUGGAAAGCUUGAGUUUUAUGUGGUUAAGACUAUAGCUAAAGGUUAUAGUUCGAAACUUUGUUUCAACUAUAGAAAACCUUUUCAACAGUGGCCAUACCCAAAUCCAUCAAAUUACUCAUAUCUAUUGCAGCAUGUCUUAUUUAUGAGAUAUAACAACCAAACAUUUUCAUAGCAAAAGGACUAGUGUGUAUAAGAAGACAUAAGGAAGUGUGGUGAUGCUCCAAGAUCAUGUAAGUGGAUGGCGAUCUACUCAAUGAAUAUGAUGUAGAGAUAUUGUCAUAAGUCAAGAUCUAGUAGUUUACUUAGUUUUGUAUAAAAAUCUAGAGGAAGACACAAUAUAUUCUUGGAGUUAAGGUCCUUUAGGAAUGUAAGAAUAGGAAAAUUACGCCAAGUCACCUAGGUUGAUGAGCAUUUUUUCAAGUACAUGAUGUAAAAAUCCAAAAAGGGUUUGUUACCCUUUAGGUUUGGAGUUGUCUUUUUUAGAAUCGAUGUCCUUGGACAUUUGUGGAGAGAGAUCAAUUUAAGACGGUAUCUUAUGCCUUUGUAAUGGAUAGCCUUAAUUAUACUAUGUUAAGUGUUAAACUAGGUAUUUGCUUUGCUGUAGGAAUAAUGAAUGGAUAUUAGUCAAUUUCCUGAUUUGAAAUUUGGGCGGAUGUCAAAUAUAUACUCAAGUAUUUUUUGCGAUGAGUUAGUACUCCUUUCGUAUUGAGAAAUUAGAGUUUUAGUCCGAUGAGGAUUCCUACAGGUCUACUUCUGGGUAUGUGUACACUCUAAGUGGUUUUUGUUACUUCUAUGGCAACAAAGGAAGCCUUUGGCUUAUGGGUAGUUCCCUUAAGUAUAAUUGUUUAAGAUCCUGUUAUGUGAUAAUAGUGGGAUGAUGGCAUGGUCUAAAGAACAGAAGUACCAUUAGAAGAGAAAACACAUAAAGAGGAAGUCUUACCUUAUUGUGAAAUAGUAUAGGGAGGUGAUGUGACUGUGGAGCAAAAUCUUUCUACGGUACUCAAUUUGCUUUUGGGCGAGGCUAGUGGGAGUUUGUUGGGAUUGAGCCCCUAAAAGCAAGACAUGAUAUAACAAAGUUAAACUUAACUGUCCUCUUGCUAACAUUUUGGUGUAUUGGCAUUGAUUUGAGUAUUCGACUCAUGUCUCUUAUAUUGUACAUGAUUUAGGUGCAUUAGGGAUUACAUAGAAGAUACAAGUCAUGAGUUCCUUGUAAGUAGUUAAGUUGUCCACAUUCGAUUCAUGAAUGUGGGCAAUCUAGUAGAGACUAUAGUGCACCACCUUUUAAUUUGAUGGAUGAAUUGUCUUAGCAUUACGAUGGGUUUCCCAUGGUGAGUGCACUAGUGUAUCUGUGAUACACAUUGGACAGGAUCUACAAUGAAUUAUAAUGCAAGACUAUCAAUUAUGAUGAUUCAAUAAGCUACUAUACUGCAAUGACUCUCAACCUUGAGAGGAUAUCGAGUAUAUAACAAAAUCAAUAAGAGACUUUGAACUAUGGGUAAGACCCUAGAAUAGUCAUAUAUCCUUAUGGAUUGAGUCACUAUCGUUGGAGACUGGUAACAACAAGUAUUCUCAAUAGAGACAUCAUGAUAUCUCAUGGGAUUGAGAUAGUGUGUCCCUUUAGGUGAUCCAAAGGACAUGUGAUCAUGAAAUACGUGGUUAUAGUAAUUCCUUUAGUGGAAUUUGACAUAUGCUCCUUCGAGUUAAGAGUAUGUUAGUUGAUCACAUAAUAAGUGAGAUUUAUAAUUCAAGGAUUUGAGAGGUAAUCUUGAUAGUUGAUAACACUACCUUAUUAGAUUAUGAACAUCAGUUCAUGAGGAGUCUACAUGUAGUGGAUAGUAGGUCAUGGACCUGAGCUUCAUCUCGUUGUUAUUUACAUAGGGUCUUGGAGUAUAAUUGAUUACCUUUAGGGGGUGUUUGGUACGUCGGAAUAGGGAAUGGAAAUAAUAUUUUGUUUCCUUUCCUAUUUCUUAGUGGAAUGGAAUGAAUUUGAUGAUUCCAUUUCUAGCAUUUGGAUGAACUUAGGAAUGCAAGAUUGGAAUGAUUAUUUGUUUCCAUUCCAAUGUUUGAUAAUAAUAGGAAUGGAAAUGAAAAAGAAAUAAAUUUACAAUAAUAUCCUUACAUAUAAUUUAAAAUAUUUUUUUAUUUUUACUUUUAUUUUAAAAAAAAAUAAAAUUUGAGAGGUUUUUUGUUAUUAAAUAAUAAGACUAAAAAAUAUAUAUAUACUCAAUAAAUAAAAAAUUAACCAUAAAAAAUCGUAUAACCCUAAUGCACAAAUAUUCAAUUAUUAUUUUUAUUAAAAAUUUGAAUAAUUUGUCAUGCUUAAGUAGUUAUAAAAUUAUAUUUAAAAAAAAUUAUUUAUUAUAAUAUUUAAAUUCUCAAAGCUAGCAAAUGUUUUUCCUAUUUUCAAAAGAGGAAAUAAAAGAAUUCAAAUUUAUUCUAAUUUUCAACAAGUAGCAUAUCCGAUAAAAUCCAUAAUCUUAAAAAAUUUUAAAUAUUCGUUUUUUUUUUAUCAAAAUUUUAAAUAAUUUGUCAUGCAAAAAAAGCUAUAGAAUUAUAUUUUACUAAGAAAAAAAAAGAGAAAAAAAAUAUAAGAACAUAUAAAUUGUCAAAGCUACCAAAUACUUAUUUCUUAUUUGCAAAAAAGGAAAUAAAAAAACACAAACUUUAUUAUAAUAUUUUUUUCCUAACCAUUAAAAAUUUUCAAUAUUGUAAACACGUGAAAUCGAAAAAUCUUUUUCCAACCAUUUCAAUUUUUCUCUCCAGUUUCCAUUAAUAUAAGAUAAAGAAACAUCAAAGAUUCCAAACAUAAAUUAAUAAAAAAAAAUUAAUCGAUUUAUAGAGAAGAAGAAACACAUAUAAAGAAGUAGAAGAAGAAAGAGAAAAUAAGGUAAACCUGAUCGAAGAUGUAGAAGGGAGUUUUCAAAACCUAGUUGCAGCAAACAAUGACGAAUCCUAGAUCCAACAAUCAAAAUGAACAUCCAAAACCAUAUAAAUUAGAAAUUGAUUUUUUUUUUUUAAAUAUCGUGGAAGGUUUAAUUGAUUCAAUUUGGAAGAAUCACUUGUUGCAGAGAAUUGGAUGAUGAGUGGGUCUCUAGCUUUGCAAAGAAGAUAAGAAGUGGAUGAUGAAUGGAUCUCUACCUUUACAAAGAAGAUAAACAUUGGGUUUGAAGAACAAGAUAAGAGGGUAAAAUAGUAAUUUAGGUUAUUUUAUAUUAUCAAAUAGGUUUAAUGAAUCAGAAUACCACCUACUUUUAAUGAAUGCAAAUCCGACUCAUAAGUUGGAUUUGAUUUCUGGCGGAAUAAUUUUUUAUUUCAUUUCCGCCUUCUUAACAUUUAUCCAAACAUAGGAAUAAGGGAGAAAAUGAAUGAGAUGUCUAUUCUCACUCCCUAUUCUCGUGUACCAAACACCCCCUUAGUGGAAUGUUGAAUCAAUUUCAUAAUUUGAUUAUGAGGGAGCCAAUACUCCUAAAGGUCCCAAUAGUCCCUGCUCUAAGCUCAUAUAUCAUGAUGACAUGGUUUAUGAAGGUAGAAUUGACUCUAGAUUUAUUCUUAUACAUAAGAGCAUUUUGGUAAUUAAGAAAGGUUACUCAGAGAUAAUUAUUGAUUAAUUAUCUUUGGAUUUGGCUAAUUGAUUAAUUAGAUGAUCCUAUGUGGUUAAUUAAUCAAUUAGAACCCAUUUUUUUUUAUAAAUUAAGUUACCCAAGCCUUGAUGGGCUCAAGUCACUUAAGCCUAGUGAGGAACACUAUUAAUACCCUCUUAAAGGGUUAGAGUUUCCUAAUAACUUUAAUUAAUUAUCUUCUACUUCCAAAGAGAGAGAAAGAGAGAGUUAAGGUUUCCAUCCUUUUAAAGUCCACACUUUGAAGUGUUAAGAUUGUAAUUCGAGUUAUCGGGCGAAAGAUCUUAGGUGUAUGAGACCUCUAGACUAUUUAGUUAGUCAUGGGCAAAGUGUCUUAUCUUUCUUUAUCAUAUACAACUUUUAAUAAUUGUAAUGGGAAUGUAGUGUAGGAUGUACAAUAUAAAACAUGUGUCUAAACCUUAAAUCCUUAAUUUUGCCAUAAGCUCAAGAGGAUGAAAUAGUUUUUAUGUGCUGCAAUUGAAAAGCAUGUAGUUGAAUGAUGUUCUAUUGUCCCCCUAAUAAUUGAAAGGUCAUUUUCUAAAAGUUUUCUCACUUCUUUUACGACCAUUAGUCGUCUAAACAUUUCUACCUCAUAUUUUUUGUCUAAACAUUUGAGCCUUAGGAUAAGGUAUAUUUUACUUGAUAUUGUGUUACUAAUGAGAAGGUAUUCAAUACAUCUAUUCUAUCACAUUAGUAUGAUAAUAUAGUAUAAAUGUUUAUUCAUAUUUAUCAAAUCAAAACUUAAAUAAGGAAGGAAAAAGAAGUUAUUUAGAUUUGAAAAUAAUUGAUAAAAGUUUUAAAUUAUUAGAAAAAUGAAUAAUUAUAAAAAUUCUUUUUUAAUAAAAUAACUUAAAUAUCAUUUAAUAUCGAAAAUAUAAAUAAAUAAUAAUGCUACAUUAGUAAGCAUUAUUAUAAUCGAAUGCAUUGUCAAGUAAUUUUCAAUUUGACCAUUAAGGUGUAAUUGCAAAAAAAAAAUUAUAAAAUAAAAUGAAAAAGAGUGAAAAGAGAAAGUUAGGAAGAAAAGGGGUGGGAGAGAAGAAGGAAAAUGAGGAUUUUUGUUAUAGAAGACUUGAGAGGAAUCUAAGAGAGAUGCAACAUUUUUUUUUUUUUGUUUAUUUAUUUUUUUCUUAUUUAUUCAUUUUUGUUUUUUGUAUUAUAAUUAAAUUGGAGAAUGUGUUUAGUUUAUAUAAACGAGAUUAGACUUUUCUAAUUUAGAAAAUUAUUUCUAGUACCAUAAAUCUUUUAGAUCCAAAUAUUGUUACUUUAUUUUUUGUAUAUAUAUAUAUUAAGAAGUUUUUUUAUAAUUAAUUUUCUAUGAUUGUAUAAAUUGAGUCAUUGCUAUCUAUUAAUAUGAAUAAAAAUUGUAAAAUCAUUUUUCUUGACCAAUCUUGUAAAAUUAUGUCAAUUAAUAUUAUUUCUCAUAAUAAUUGUCAAUAAAAUCAAAGAACCAUUUUUUAUAUUUUUAUUUUAACAUUAAUAAAGUCAAUAAUCAUUUUUAAAUAAAUCUUGUGAGUUGUAUGAAUUGAGGUUUUUUUUGUAUAUUUACAUUAAUAAAAAAAAAAUCGUUUCUUUUGAAUUAUUAUUGUGAGACCACAUACAUUGGGCUGUUUUGUCUUGUGGCAUCAAUGAAAUAAGGAAAAUCAUUUACUUAACAAGGUUCAUUUUUUAUUAUUAAUUUUUCCCUUUAUCCAUGUAUCAACUUUCCAUAUGUUCAUACUUCUUCAUUUUGUGUCUGAUUUAUUAUUUAAUUAAUUCUUUUAAUUUCAAUCAUUCUACUAAAAAUAAUAUAAAAAGCCACUGACGGAGUUAGAAAAUUGAGCAGUCAAGAUGUUGGUAUUUAUUGGAUUGUAGGUAAAUAAGAAACAAAUUACCUUUGUGGGCUACUAGUAGUGAUUGAAUUCAUGUUUUGUCUAAAGAAAGGAAUCAAAUUUCUCUUUCUGCAAAAAUUUUAGGAGAGCACUUGCCCUAGUCAUGGGAAACCUUUAACUGGGGCACCUUAGCUAAGGUCCCAUUUGGUGCCCCAUCUCUCUUCAUCAGACACAACCUUUAAUAAUUGUAAUGGGUACUAACUAGAUGAUUCCACCAAAUAAUUUUUCAUACAUAUUAUCAGCUCACUUUUUUAUUUAAAUCAAAUAAUAAGUGAUUCUAUUUAAAAACAUUUCUAAUAUAACCAUUAUUAACAAAAUAAACCAUAAGUGUUUGAAUCAAAAUUAGUCUUAAAUAGACUCCUAUGAAGAAGUUGUCUUCAAGUACUAAUAACUCCUAUGAACAUACUUGUAAUUUGAAAACCUUAAAGAGUCAUGAAUGAGUUAAAUUGAGAAGAUUAAGAGUGUAUUUGGGAGCAACAAAUCUCAACUUUCUUAGCAUUAAAGUCUUACUGGGUAAACUUAAGGCCAUGCUACCACAGAGAGGCAAGGGAUUUGGCCCCAAAAUGUACGAUUUUUCUUUGUUAUAUCAAUACAAACAACCAUCUGUCCAUUAAUUUUAAUUUAAGUGAAAUCAUUUUACUCCAGAAAUCAGAAGUUGCAAUGGAAGGCGUUCAUUAUUUUGGGUUGGGCAAAAGGUGCUUACUGGGGGUAGUGGACAAUAAAGAAGCGAAUAGAGGUGGUAGGGGCCUGUCAUCCAGCUGGAUUCUCAAAUGCAAAAAUGGAGAUUCGUUUGUCCCAACUCACAAGCGACAAGUCAAAGUCACGAGGAUUGGCAAUGGCAGCUGAUGUGACUCAUGAGAAAUGGCAGAGCGCGUCAUCGGAUGCUCACUGUCACACUGUUCCCCACUCAUGUCCCAAUGCUCACUGCCAGUUGGAUCCUCCACGCUUCCCGAUAUUUUUUCAAUAUUGGCCCCCCAGGCCCUUCCAGCCUGUCACCUUCCCUAUCUUCUCCGAAGUCUCUCUGUGCCUUUUUUGCUUUUCCCAUUCCAUGACCUUCACUCUUCUCCACCACUGCGGCUCCACAGUACUCCUUGUCAGGCCUAAUAUGAACUCAAAAGUUUGCAUUAGGUUCUAAUUUUAAAAUUUUGAGGAAGUGAAAAUUUUUCUACUUUCUUAAAAUUUAGAAAUUUUAAAAAGUGUUUUUAAAUAUAGAAUAUACCUAUUAUAAAUAAUUCUUAUAUUUUAUAUACUUACUUAUUUAACUAAAAAUUAGUCAUGAUAUAUUCUACUUAGUAAUACUUGUGUUACCAAUAACAAAGAAUUCAAUUUUUUACCAUGUUCAUAUAAUAUAUAUUUCAAUUUAUAUUUUGUCAUUUCAAAAUUUAAAUAUGGAAGAAAAAAAAAAGUUAUAUUGAAAUUGAAAAUAAUUAAUAAAAAUUUUAAGUUAAUAGAAAAUGAAUUUAAAUUUUUAAUAAAUAUAACUUAGCAUUUUAUUUAUUUUCAAUUAAUUAAUUUGACAUAAUAUAAAUAAAUUCUUAUACCAGAUUGGCAAGCAUUACUAUACCACAUCAUAAGCUUAGUACAACAAAGAUACCAAAUAUUUCCUAUAAAUAAUUUGGUGCAUUAUCAAGAAAUUUUCGAUUUGGCCAUCAGGUGUAAUAGUAAUAAUUUACCUUUUUUAUUUUUUCUAUUAUUUUCUUUUUAGCUUUUAGGUGAUUAUGUAUGUAUACAUAAUUCUUAUAUUUUUAUUUUAAAAUUUCCAAAUUGGACUAGGUACUAAAUUACAAAUGCAAAACAUUUUUACUCAUGAUAAUUUUUAUUUAUCUUUUUUCCUUUAAACUAAGGGUGUAACAUCUUACCCAUGUAAGAUUUUUUCCAAAAGAAAUAAUUAAAAAUCAUGAUUAAAAAUAAAGUAAAUAAUAGCUUCUUUUUAUUUAAUACUUGAAUUAAGUAAUUUAUUACCAAUUUUAUAGUUAUAAAAAAUAAAUAAAGGUAUGAAAUUAAAGCAGACCCGAUAGGAAAUCUUAACCACGUAAACAGUUUCAUCUGAACUUCUCCACUAAUUUGGUAAUUAUAUCAUAAACUGUGAACUUCUUUACCGAGUCUACCCAUAUGCAUCGUAAAUCUAUGAUAGUCAAGGUGGUAAAUAAUUUAGCCAAUUAAAAAAAUUAACUAUUUAAAAAAGAAAACUUACAAGUUUCACUUAAAUAAUUAAAAAUGACAACUAAGGUUUGCUAAGGUCCCAUGUACCCUUAAACAAAACUAUAACUUUAAUAAUUCACUCUCAACUUGGUGCAUUCCCGUUGACCGCUUUCUAAUCCUUCCCCUUCCCUCUCUUCUCCUCCUUAAUUUCCCAAUAGCUGCAGACACAAGUCAUUCCUUUUCUCCUUCCAAUUUGUCUUUCUUCUUUCUGAUCUUCUCCUUAGAAUUUCUCAUACAUCAAUGGGAAACGUUUGCUCAGUCUCCAUUUCCACCGAGGACAUCGCUGGCCGCUGCUGUGAUUGCACUGCUGCUCGAGCAAAUUACAUAUGCAAGCUUCAAGAAAAUCGGGUUACUUUGAGAACAGAGCUUCAAAAGUUAAGGGAGUUGAGGAACGAUGUGAAGAGGAAGGUGGAUGUGGCUGAGAGGCAACAAAUGAAGCGUCUGGAUCAAGUGCAAGGCUGGCUUUCCAGGGUGGAAGAUAUGGAAACUGAAGUCACUCAACUGAUUGGAGAUGGUGCAGAGAACAUUGAGGAGAAACGAUUUUGUGGUAGCUGCUAUCCCAAGCAUUGCAUCUCCAGCUACACGUUGGGAAAGAAAGUGGUCAGGAAGCUACAACAAGUGGCUGCCCUAAUGAGCGACGGUCGUUUUGAGGUGGUGGCUGAUAUUGUACCUCCAGCUGCUGUGGAGGAAAUCCCCAGCGGAACCACUGUGGGAUUGGAAUCAACAUUUGACAGAGUUUGGAGGUGUCUCGGAGAAGAACAUGUGGGGAUGAUCGGCUUAUAUGGGUUGGGGGGCGUUGGGAAGACCACCCUCUUGACCCAAAUCAACAAUCAUUUCCUUAAAACAUCCCACAAUUUUGAUGUCGUAAUUUGGGUAGUGGUUUCCAAAACUCCGAAUCUAGACGAGGUUCAGAACGAGAUUUGGGAGAAGGUGGGAUUCUGUGAUGAUAAAUGGAAAAGCAAAAGCCGCCAUUUGAAAGCCAAAGACAUCUGGAAAGCCUUGAACGAAAAGAGGUUUGUGAUGUUGUUGGAUGACCUGUGGGAACAAAUGAAUCUGUUAGAAGUGGGAAUUCCACCUCCCCACCAACAAAAUAAGUCCAAGUUAAUAUUCACCACUCGAUCUCUGGACUUGUGCGGCCAAAUGGGAGCUCAAAAGAAAAUCGAAGUAAAAUCUUUAGCAUGGAAGGAUUCGUGGGAUUUGUUUCAAAAAUAUGUGGGAGAGGACACCCUUAAUUCUGAUCCAGAAAUCCCUGAGCAAGCUGAAAUUGUUGCACGAGAGUGUUGCGGUUUGCCACUGGUGAUAAUUACCAUAGGGCGAGCUAUGGCUUCUAAAGUGACACCCCAAGAUUGGAAGCAUGCAAUUAGAGUACUACAAACAUCUGCAUCAAAAUUUCCAGGUAUGGGGGACCCAGUGUACCCACGUUUGAAAUACAGCUAUGAUAGUUUGCCCACCAAAAUAGUUCAAUCUUGCUUCUUAUAUUGUUCUUUAUUCCCAGAAGAUUUUUCCAUAGAUAAAGAAGCUUUGAUAUGGAAAUGGAUUUGUGAAGGAUUUUUAGAUGAAUAUGAUGACAUGGAUGGAGCCAAAAAUCAGGGAUUCAACAUUAUCAGUACCCUCAUUCAUGCAUGUCUACUUGAGGAACCUUUAGAUACUAAUUCUGUAAAAUUGCAUGAUGUGAUACGUGAUAUGGCCUUGUGGAUAACUGGUGAAAUGGGGGAGAUGAAGGGCAAGUUUUUGGUACAAACAAGGGCCGAUUUAACCCAAGCCCCUGAGUUUGUCAAAUGGACGACGGCGGAAAGGAUUUCACUGAUGCACAACCGAAUUGAGAAGUUAGCAGGAUCGCCCACAUGCCCCAAUCUCUCGACACUUCUUCUGGAUUUGAAUAGGGAUUUGCGGAUGAUAAGCAAUGGUUUUUUUCAAUUUAUGCCCAAUCUAAGAGUGUUGAGCUUAAAUGGCACCAAUAUAACUGACUUACCACCAGAUAUUUCUAAUUUGGUUUCAUUGCAAUAUCUUGAUUUAUCCUCGACAAGGAUAUUGAGGUUUCCAGUUGGGAUGAAGAAUCUCGUAAAAUUGAAGAGAUUGGGGUUGGCCUGUACAUUUGAACUGUCUUCAAUUCCACGAGGACUAAUAUCAAGUCUUUCAAUGCUGCAAACAAUCAACUUGUACCGUUGUGGAUUUGAACCAGAUGGUAAUGAGUCAUUGGUAGAGGAAUUGGAGAGUUUAAAAUACUUGAUCAAUUUACGUAUCACCAUAGUAAGUGCCUGUGUGUUCGAGAGAUUUUUAAGUUCCAGAAAGUUACGGAGUUGCACUCAUGGAAUCUGCCUCACGAGUUUCAAAGGUUCAAUCUCACUUAAUGUAUCAUCUCUUGAAAAUAUAAAGCAUCUCAAUUCGUUUUGGAUGGAAUUUUGUGAUACUUUGAUCAAGUUUGAUUGGGCAGAGAAAGGAAAGGAAACAGUGGAGUAUAGCAAUCUUAACCCAAAGGUCAAAUGCUUCGAUGGCCUUGAGACUGUGACCAUCUUAAGAUGCCGGAUGUUGAAGAAUCUGACAUGGCUUAUUUUUGCCCCAAACCUCAAAUAUCUUGAUAUACUAUAUUGUGAACAAAUGGAAGAAGUGAUAGGAAAAGGUGAAGAGGAUGGAGGAAAUCUGAGCCCAUUCACAAAUCUCAUACAAGUACAAUUACUUUAUCUACCACAACUGAAGAGUAUGUACUGGAAUCCCCCGCCCUUUCUUCACCUGGAGAGAAUUUUAGUAGUUGGCUGUCCGAAGCUGAAGAAGCUGCCACUCAACUCCAACAGUGCCAGGGAACGUAGAGUUAUGAUUGAAGGAGAGGAAGAGUGGUGGAAUGAGUUAGAAUGGGAGGAUGAAGCUACUCUAAAUACUUUCCUUCCCAAUUUCCAAGCAUUAGAUAAGAACAAGGGGGUAAGGUAUGAUUCCAAUUAAAAUCGAACCAAAUAUGAUUGGAAUGUGUAUUAUUCUCAAUUCAUUAUAUAAUUAGUUGUUAUUCAUUUGCAGGAUUUGAAGGAAUGACAAAUAUUUGGGUGUUUGUUGUGGAUGUGAGGUAGGCCCUGGAUGUUCAUAACUUGAUACUAAUGGUUUUAAUAUUCCUUUUUUCCAAGACUUUUUCUUUUCUUCUUUUUUUUUUUUCUUUUUUUGGCUAGUUAAUAUUUAUGAAAUUCAUUGAGAUUAUUGUUUCAAAGUUUUUUUUUUCAAGCUUAAUGUUAGUACGAGGGUAAUCUCUAGUUCUGCCAUAUACUUCUUCUCUCUUAAAUUUUAUUUUUAUUUUUUAACAUGCAUGUUUACUUAAAGUUCCGAAUCCAAUUAUGAUGAGAAAAUAUAAAUUUUAAAACCAUUUCCAUACUCAUAUUUUGAUAUCUAUUAUAUCCUUUAAAAUAAAAUAAUCCUACACUUUCAUAUCAAUCAAAUCUAUGCUCUACAAAACUACCAAGUUGAUUGCAAAAAUAUGAUACACUCAGUUUAAUUCUGAAAUAUGUUUUUGGUUUUUUUGCUUUCUAUUUCACUCCACUUUUGGCUUCUCAAGUUUCAAAUUAGAGGUCAAAGAGAAAAAUAUAAAUGUAUAAUUUAGUGUGAUUGGAAAGAUUUCUUAUUUUUUGUUUUUUAAAUAAUAAUAACUUUUAUAUAAAUAUAAAAACUUUCAAAAAUUCCUAUUAAAAAUCUAAUGAUUUUGAAAACCAUUUUAAGAAAUUGAGGUAUUAAAAAGUUUUACUUUCUCAAGUUUUAAAAUUUUUAAAAUUAAUUUUUACAUAAAUAUUUGGAUACACUUUCUAUUUUUUACUUUCAAAUAUAGAAAACUUCUAUAUAAAAAGGUCAAAACUCUUAUAUAAAAAGUAUAAACUUAUCUUAUGUCUUUAAAAUUUAUUUUUAAAAAUUUUAAAAUUUGAGUUAGUAAAAAAAUUUUAAUAUCUCAAUUUUUUAAAAUUAGUUUUUAAAAACCAUCACAAUUUUAAUGUAAGCCUUUAAAAGUUCUUGUAUUUUAUAUUCAAAAUUAUAUUAUUUUUUAUUUUAAAAAAAACAUAAAGUAUAUUCAAAAUCAAGUAUAUACUUUUUAUACAAGAUUCUAUGAAUUUUAUAUAGAAAUUUUAUUACUUUCCACUUUGGAAAACAAAAAAACAAGAAGUAUAUUCAAACAAAAACCUUAGUUAGUAAUGCAAAAUAUUCCAAAAAUCGAGGAAAAAUAAAUCCACAAAAAAAGUAUAUUAUUUAAUUAGUAACAAUAACAUAUCUCAGGGAAAAAACAGAACUUAAACAAAAAUUCCCUAUUGAGGUUUGAUGAUGGGAUCAUUUUGUUCAAUUUUUAUUAUUGUUGACAAGUAUGAAUAUCUUCUGAAACCAAUCACAAUGGAUAGCAACAUUAAUAAAUAAAGCGCUCUGAGAAUUAGUAGUUACACUUCUUUCCAUGCAACUAAAAAAUAUAUGUUUGUUUUUCUUUGAUCAACAAAAUGGUGGAAGUUGCGAAAUAACUUGGGUUUGAUUUAGGAGUACACUCUCCUUUAAAUUUAAUUGUCAUUCUUCUUCUUAUUCUCCUUGAAAUAUUUCACAUACUAAUGGGGAAUGUAUACUCAAACUUAAUCUCAAUUGAGGACAUGUUAGACAUUGUCGUGACAGCAUUACUACCCAAGAAAAUUAUAUAUCAAAGCUUGAAGAAAAUCAAUUGAGAUUUGAGAAGUUUUGUUGUAUGUGCUUGCUAAGUCAUACAUGUGGAAGCCAAGUUAUAUGCAAGAAAAUCAACCGUUGUUUGUUUUGUUUGAAUGUUGCCUUUUGUUUUGAAGUUAUUAUUUUUGUUGUCAAAGAUGCAAGAUUGUGUAAGUCAUUGAUUUUAUUUAUUUGCUAGUUUGUUCCUUAUUAUUAAGGGAUUUUAAUGUUAGAAUUAUCUAUAUUUAAGUCUUUAUUUUGAUGGAAUAAGAUAUAAAAUUAAUAUCUUCUUAGGAGGAAUUGACCUCCCAAAAUGUUAGCUAACUUUUUUUUCAUCUUUUGAUUUUUUUUAUCUUUUUCUUGAGUCACAUGUGAGCAUUAAGAAAGCUGAGGAAUGAUUUAAAAAGGAAGAUGGAUCUAGUUGGAUCUUAGAGGGUCUAGGGUUUAGGCUUUUGCCUGUAACAUUUCUGAGAAAAUAAAGGUUGUGCUUAAAUAAGAAAAACACCCAAGAGUGGGGGUGAAUUGGGUUUUUCAAAAACUUUUUCGACAUAACAAAUUCAAGCACAAUAUAAUAAAAAAAAAUAAAGAUAUAGAGUUAAAGAAUUCAAACUCAGAUUUUAUAGUGGUUCGACACUUCCUUGCCUACGUCCACUCUCCUCAAUCUCCUAACCAAGUGAGGGUUCCACUAACUUGAAACUUCAACCAAACUUCCAAUCUUUUUACACUUGGAUUUCGACUCUAAUGGGCUCUUACACAAUUUCUUCAAGAUUCAAACCUCUUGAAGGCUUUAACACUCAAUUUUUACAAGAAUGAAUUCGUUAACCUAACUUAAAUACAAAACAAAGCUAGAAUGACUCAUAAGGAUGCACUAAAAGAUAUGCAAGUGAGGAUUUAAUGCACUAAGAAAGAAAUGAGAGCUUUUAAGCCAAGAACAAGUGGGUAAACAAUUAAUUGCAAGUGUUCUCUAUGUCAUAAAUGAAGUGGAGCUUUCAAUUUAUAGGUUUCUAACCUCGGGAGCUAAGAAAAGCAAAAGGCAGUCUCGACCGGUCAAGCUAGGGGUCGACCGGUUCACUAGCCAUUGGAGCAUUUAAUGCUUUGGUAGGUUACUGUUGCCUCGACCGGACCUCUACCGAGGUCGAUCGGGAAAGAGGAAACCUCAAUCGGGAAGAGGAAACUACUGGAUGAAAGAGAGUGUUUUUGGCACUCCUCGACCGGACCUCGACUGAACAGGGGCAACCAAUCGACUGGUUCUCCAACCAAUUGAGCCGGUUGGCCAUAGCCUCAACCGAUUCAAUCUUUUGGCCUUGAAAACCUAUCUUUUUCAAUUCCUUUCUUUUCUAACACUUAGGCAAGGUUUUUAGUAAAUUAAUAUGUCAAUUUUGAAACGUUUUGUCUAAGAUACAUUUGAUAAAACUCAGGUUUUAAUAAAAUCGAAAUUUUAAAAAAUAAAUCGAGUUUUCAAAUAUGCAUAAAAAUGUAUGAAAAAUCUAAGUGCACUCAUGCAUUCAUUUUACAUUUGUUUCCUAUGAUCAAAAGUCUUCCAAAAGUCUCAAUCUUGUAUCCAUUUGGUCCUUUGAUGAAUUUUCGAAUUUAUACCUGAGAUUAUUUACCAUUCAAACCAAUUAGUCACUAAACCAUAAUUUGUUAUCAUCAAAACCUGAUCAGGAAAACUCUUGGGCUAACAAUCUCUACAAAAAAGCUUUUAUGAUAACUCAUUUAAUGUUUAAAUAUGGAAUAAAAAAUUAUUUUUGAUAGUAUUUUUUUUGUCAUGAAUUAUUACAUAUUAAAAAAUAAGUAUUUUAAAACUUCAGGCUUUAUUUAGAUACACUUUUUUUUUAAUCAGAAACCUUUAUCUAUAAAGGAUAAACUCUAAUAUAAAAGGUAUAGACUUCUCUCAUGACCUUAAUAAUUACUUUUAAAAAAAUUAAAAUUUGAGAUAGUAAACUGUUUUUAAUACCUUAAUAUUUUUUAUUCGGUUUUUAAAAAUCAUUAUAUUUUCAAUCUAAACUUUUAAGAGUUCUUGUAUAUUAUAUAAAAGUUACUAUUAUUUUUUGUUUUUAAAAAACAUAAAAUAAAAAGUAUAUCCAAACAAACCCUUACUAAGUUGCUCUCAAGCAUUACAUAAUGUUUUUAAUGCUCUCAAGGUUACCUUCAAAUGUCUUCUUACAAUAAAAAUCUUUAAAUUUAUGAAAGUUAUAAGGCAAAAUCAUUGUAUAUUGUUCAAUUAAAAGAAUUGAAAUUCAUUAAAAUGUAUGGGCUUAAUGUUGUGCCUCCAUUAGGAAUUGGUUUUAGUUGUUUGCCUAAGCCCCACUGUCUAGGACAAGGUUGGAAAAAACACAAAAUAAAAAAUUUUGGAUCAAGACGAACAUUCAAACAUCCUUGUGGGCAUUAAAAUGUUGAGACUUUUAAAUUAGUUUCCUACUUUGUUUUUAACUCAAAAAUCUUAUUUUUGAAAUGUUCUAAAAUUGAGAAACUCUCCAUAAUUGUUUAUUAUGGUUUUCUAGUAUGAAAGAGUUUGUUUUAUUGAAAUUUUGUGAACUUCCAAGAACUUUAGAGGAUAUAAUCAUCCUUAAAGUUUGUACUCGAAACUUUUAAGAUCUUUCUUGAAAUGACCUUUUGGCUAUAAUAGAGGUCAAAGGCUAACGAUGCAAAACUUCAAUAAGGGCUUCAAGAGAUCCACUAAGGAGCACAAGGAUAUUGCAUGAAGAACAUGAAAAAAGAAUGUAUAUACUAAUGAUAUAAGUCUCUACGGAGUAGAUACAUUCGAUCAAAUAAAAUUGUGUAUCAUUUUGAAUUAUUUAACGAUUAAGAAAACGCUCGUGGUUUUUUACAUCUAGGCUACUAGUUGGUUUUUCUAUAUUAUAUCAUGUAUUUAUUAUGUGAGAAAUUUAUUUACCUACUUUCAUAUUUGAAUAAAAAAAAAUUUCUUAUAGAAAAUGAUGGUUUUCUCCUAAACUUUUCCUAUUUCCCAAUCUAUGUUUUAUACAACUUUAACAAGAGAAAGGUCCAAUUCAUUUUGACGUAGUUACCAUGACGGUAAUAAAUAUCACAACCAAUUAUUAAGAAAAAUCAUUUUAUUAAAAAUAUACUAAUUUAAUAUAUAUAUAUAUAUAUAUAUAUAUGACACCUUAAAGAAGUGUAAUUUUUCUUGAUAAAACUCUAAAAAUGAUAAUAUCUUUAUUUUUCAAGCAUCUAAUUAUUUAGAAGAAUGACCAAUACUAAAACUAAAAAUUUCUAACUUUGUUAUAAUUAUAAUUAAUAAAAUUUCUAGAAAAAAAAAACAAAAAUAAGAAGAGAAUGGUGUUGGAAUUUAAAUAAAUAAAAAAUUAAGACAAAGUACAAAAAUCACUCAUAUAAUUUCACUUAUCACAAUUUGGUGUUUUAAACUUUUUUCUUUUUAUAAUAUCAAUCAUAAAUUAUAUCCAAAUGUCAAAUAGACUCUUUUACUAAUGAGCAAAUAAGUAUAGGUAUGAGUUUUUAUAUCAUAUAUUUGGAUAUUUUCAAUUUAUAUACAUACCUUUCAUAAGGCUUUUUUUUUUUUAAUCCAAUUUUUUUCUUUAGGCUAUGUUUGGUUCCCGGAAAAUUUGAAGGAAAAUGCUAGGGAAAGAAAAUACAAAGGAAAAGUAGAAGGAAAGAAAAAGUGAAGGAAAAUAAAAAAAUAGAUUAAAAGUUGAUAAAUUAUUUUUUUUGUUACUUCAAACUCAUUUUAUUUAUUUUAACUCAUCAAUAUAAAGAUUAAAUAAUUUAAAAAUACAUAAGUUUUUAAUUAAUUUUAAUUAUAUUUGAUUUUCUUUGAUAUUUUUCAUAAGACAACCAAACAUGAGAAAAUCAUUUUCCUUAGCAUUUUUUUUCUUUCCUUUGUACUUUCCGGGAACCAAACAUAGCCUUAUAGAAAAUCUUAAUCAAAAGCCUAACCUUGGGCAUAAUUUUAGAUUGUUAUUACUUUAAAAAAAAAAUAGAGACUAAAUUGAGAUAAGGGGUAGAAAUAAAAAAUAAAAAUAAAUGAUUUAUGUAAUUUACUCUUAAAAUAUAGAGUAAGCAUCAAAUGGCUUCAAGCAAUAUUUUCACCUAAACUUUCAUGUUAUAGCCCCAUCUAUAUAUCUUCUAAGGUAGACAAUUCUAAUAUAUAGUUGUACUAGAGCUUUCCAUUUGAUUUUGAAUAAAUUAACAUUAUGUAGUAAAUAUCCAAUUAACCUUUAAAAAAAUUGUAAUAAAGCUCAAAAAACUAUCAUAUAUUCAUUUCUUCAAGCAACUAAUUAUUCGGAAUGACAUUAAUACUAAAACUAAAAAUUUCUAAUUGUGUUCCAAUUGAAAUUAUUGUUGUUUCUAAAAUUGAUGCUAUAAAGUAAAUAGGACAAAAAUGAGGUAGAAAAGGAGGCUAAAAUGUGAAGAGAAUGGAGUUGGAAUAAAAAAAGAAAGAUGGAGCAUUUAUAGCCUAGAAUUCAAAAAUGGGUUAAAAAAAAGAUGGAAGAUUUAUAGCCUAGAAUUCUUGUGUGGUCCAUCUUCCUUUUGAAAAUAUUCAUUAAACUAAUCAUUUUUAUCACAUCAACUUUCGUUCAUGAUACAUGCAUAUAUACAUUACAUACAUACAUACAUAUAUACAUACAUACAUACCAUUAAAAAAAAAAAAUUACUUUUGUGAUAAACUUGUUAAAAGUGGUUCUUCUAUGAUCUCUAUCUUUCCUGUUAAAGUGAACUUUACCCUUUACCAAUUGUAGGAUGAUCUGUUGAGGUUGUGGAGUUAUUUUCGGGUCUCUUUGAAUGCUUACCACCAAUGUGGUAAAUAUCAUACCUAAUUCCAAAUACAUAAAUUAAUUAGUAAACCUAAUAUUCCCACGACUCUACAAUUAUAGACCUCCAAGAUGCUAACACCUUAAAAAUAUAAUUUCUCGUAUUGAAUCUCUAAAUAUCAUAAUAUAUUUAUAUUUAAACUAGAAAAUCCUUAUCCUAUUCCAGUUAUAAUUAUUGUCAUUACUUAUGUCACAGCAAAAUAAAGUGUAGGAUAAAAUGGAAUACAAAGAAGGUGGUUACACAAAAAGGCACAAGUUGAAGGAAUAUGGUGGAGCAUCUUUGACCUAUCGCCCUUGUGUGUUCCAUUUUCCUUGGUUAUAUUUGAUUCCUAAAAAAUAUAAUAAUAAUUUUUAAUAUUUUGUUUAUCAUGAAAAUGGAAAGAAAAUAUAUACAUUUUCAAAUUAUUCAAUGAAGAAAAAAAAAAAGUAAAAUGAGUUUAAAAAACCAUAUAAAAAUAAAUAAAUUUAUUCUCUUAAAAAUAAAUUUUAUGUACAAAAUACAUCUAUAAAAGUACUAAUGGACGAAAUUUGAAAUCUAUAAUGACUUAAUACAUUUACAUGGAAGGAGAGUGAACAAAAUUAACCCCCCAAAAAAACUAAACAUUGGGUUAAUAAGUACAUUUCAUUAUGAUGGUUUCUAAUUUGAGUGGUAACCCAUACUCUAAUCAUUUCCAUUUCUACUUUCCUCAUCAAUAUCCAAAUCUAAUACUCUCCUUUAGAAUUCAUCUUUAUUUCUCUUUACUGCAUACACCAAUGGGAAACAUGUGCUCAGUUACAAUCUCCAUUGUGUAAAGACAUUAUUUGAACUGAUACUCACACUCAAGCUACAAUUUUCUGGUUUUAUUCCGAUUAUAACCAUUGCAAAUGUUAGUGUUUCAGAAAAAUAAAUGGUAAGAGUAAAUGAGUUGGAAGGGAGAAAAUUCCAUCACAAUGAAGGGUAUUGCUCAAAUUACACCAGGAAAAUAUGCUGGCUAAGUUUAUUCUACCCACAACAUAAAAACCAAUAUCUAAGGCAUUUUCAAGAGACUAAAACUCAUAUACUCCACAGAUGGAAUCAUAUUGUAAUUCCAUUCCCCAUUGCUAACUCACAAUCAGGGCAUUCACUACGCUAUAUUUGCUCUUGUAGCCCCCAUUAGGAUCGUAGACAGCACUACCUGCCUACGCCCAAUGCUCAAUAGUUGGCCAAGGAACAAAACAUGACCCACACAAAUUUAUAACACAACCACAGGAUUCUCAUCUCCCCAGGCAUUCCUAGUACUGUUUACAUUGUACUUCCUGUUAGAGAAGAACUCCACACAUCAUCUCUGGGUACUAAAGCUUUUCAACUCUUGAAAAGCUGCCUCAAAAUCUCCAUCACCUCAUUUGAGGCUUUGAACUUUCUGGGAUAUUCAAAUUCAUCAACAAUAUAGUUGCACUGUCAAUAUCAAAGGCUCCUUUUGGUGCCAAUACAGCACUAGUCAGAUAUUGAAACAGCACAUUCAUACACAUAUCUAGGUCUUAUGGGAAUGGAAUACAAGUUACCUUCAGUAAGGUUUUUCCUUGCACGCUUACACAUUUUCUAUCUCACCUGUUAUUGAAAGAUCCAUGGCAUCUCAACUGGUUACAAACCUUAACAAUCCAAACCUGCAUUCAAAUGAUCCAAGCCUGUCAUGUAACAUCCAAGCUCAAAAGUCAAGCUUAAGUUAAUAAUCAAGCUAGUUAAUUCACACAAAAGAGCUGGUCAGCACACCAACUCAAGAACAAUGAUAAGCAACUGCCAUUUACCAUCCUGACAGAAGCUUGAUAUCUUACAUGGAGGACUUACAAGGUGGGUAAGCAUUUGUUAGUUGACACUAAUCAAUCCUCUGAUACAGAAGAUUGACAUCUCAUAUGGAGGGCAUAAGGUGAACCCCUAGGAUCCUGUUGUGCAAGUUGGACUACACUCCAAUCAAGAGCUAAGAUUUUACUACACCAACUUAGGUUAUCCUGAUCACAUCUUAGUGGAGGAAGUGUUGUUGAUUUCCAUUUACAUAACUUUGAUUUAGUAGGUUUGGUCUACUUGGGGUGUAAUAUAUAUUACACAAUGGGAAGAGGGACUGGGAUGAGGUAGUAAAAACAGGACACAACUUGUGGAGAAGGGUCCAAAAGUGGAACCCCUUUUUAAGGCUUUUAAUCCUCUGCAUCUCUGCUGAAAUACUAUAACCCAGUUUACUGGUACACAAGUGUUACCAAAAACCACCAUUUCUGGUGCCUUAUUCCUCCUACCCUUCAUUGAGGGAAGUCUAACCCAGCAGACAUAUGCAACCUAGAUGGUUGAUUUUCUAGCUUCCAUUAAUGGGGAGAUUUUCACGCAACAUUCAUUGACCAUGCUAAGUGGGUAAAAAUGAGAAAUUAAGAGGCAAACUACAUGAUGAAUUAGUCAUACAGAACAUGAGUCCAGGGAUAUUCUCAAAUAUUCUAGGUUCUUUUAGAUCAUGGAAACUACUUGAGAAAGGAAAAAAGGAAAAGAAAAAAUUAUCUCAUAUUCUCUUGUUUGGUUUGCCAAGGAAAAUUUUGUUUUCCCUUUUGCAUUCUUAUUUUCUUAUUCUCAUACUUCCCCUUAAACUUUCCAUGAUCCAGACAGAAGUUUGACAUAUUUAAUAAGCUACCUGACAAGUAUUUCCUUUCCACAAUUGUUUAUUCAACCAAUAAUCCACUUCUUCCAUUACUUGAUUCUCAAUCUAGUUUCCCUUACACUAACCCUCAAGAAACAAAAUAACACAUGAAUAGGGGUUAUUUUUCAAUAUAAAAAUUCCCUACCAAGAUAUCAAAUGUCUAUGAAUUGAAAUUUUAGAACAAUAACAACAUGUUCCAAAUCACCAGUGAAGAUCCAUGAUAAGAUAAAUUAGUUACAUUCGCAUGAUUCUUUACGUACCUUUUUCAACAGACUGAGCCCAGUGAAUGGUUGAUCUGGCCAAAGCAUCCAUUGGAUCAACACAUUUCUUAAGGAGAGGAUCAUCCCGAGGCAAAAGAUCAUGCAUGUCAUCAGAGGCAAGGAUGACAGUGUUCACAGCCCUCACCAGAAGAACUUGCAGUGCAAUUCUUAGCAGAUUCCUAGCCCCUUCCAUGUCCUUUCGGUUAAAAGCUUCGAUUGCAGGAAUUACAGUGUGUUCCAUUGUUGCUUUAUCUGGAAGAACAAC
rnacentral:lncRNA from 1 species